rnacentral:rRNA from 1 species
UACGUAGGGGGCAAGCGUUGUCCGGAUUUAUUGGGCGUAAAGAGCUCGUAGGCGGUUUGUCGCGUCUGCUGUGAAAACGCGAGGCUCAACCUCGCGCCUGCAGUGGGUACGGGCAGACUAGAGUGCGGUAGGGGAGAUUGGAAUUCCUGGUGUAGCGGUGGAAUGCGCAGAUAUCAGGAGGAACACCGGUGGCGAAGGCGGGUCUCUGGGCCGUAACUGACGCUGAGGAGCGAAAGCGUGGGGAGCGAACAGG